rnacentral:rRNA from 1 species
CCUACGGGAGGCUGCAGUCGAGAAUCAUUCACAAUGGGGGAAACCCUGAUGGUGCGACGCCGCGUGGGGGAAUGAAGGUCUUCGGAUUGUAAACCCCUGUCAUGUGGGAGCAAAUUAAAAAGAUAGUACCACAAGAGGAAGAGACGGCUAACUCUGUGCCAGCAGCCGCGGUAAUACAGCGGUCUCAAGCGUUGUUCGGAAUCACUGGGCGUAAAGGGUGCGUAGGCUGUUUCGUAAGUCGUGUGUGAAAGGCGCGGGCUCAACCCGCGGACGGCACAUUAUACUGCGAGGCUAGAGUGAUGGAGGGGGAGCCGGAAUGCUCGGUGUAGCAGUGAAAUGCGUAGAUAUCG